CCAUAAUACCACCUAGACUUCUCCAACAAUGAGCUUCUCCAUUCAUCUAUCGGGCCACUCCAAAUGCUCUCUAGGCUUCACUAUCAGUCAAUUUUCUAUAGUGAUCAACUAUUCUCCGAAUCCCUUCCAGACUUCUUCCGACCACGGACGACUCUACUCCGAACUUCUUCCAAACUUCGUCAAUAUCCGAGCUUCUCUGACAAUGAGAUUUCUACAGUAACCAGACUCCAUCCAAGUUUCUACGAUGGUCGACCACCUUUUAGGUUCCACCCAAGCUCCUGCGAGAGCUGAACUUCUACUGCAAGCAGUCUACUCCGAACUCCUACUGUAGGCGGUCUACUCCAAAUAUCUACUGUAAGCAUAUUCCAUUCGAGC
rnacentral:lncRNA from 1 species